rnacentral:lncRNA from 1 species
UUCUUGUUGUCUAUUAUGGCUUUGAAGAAGCGAUGGUUGUCAAAUGUGAAGAAAACAGAGAGAAGGUUAGAAAUAAAAACUCGUCCAGGAUUUCUAGCUACGAAAAAAAAAAAGGAUUACCUCUUGUUUUAUCUGCUACUCGAAACAGAUAUUCACGUGGCCAAGGAGACGUGGCGGCAGGUAGCAAAAGCGACGAGGGAACUAGGGGACAAGCAGGAUUUCGAGAUUCGAGAAGGGGAUGUCACCCAAUGGUUUCCAGAGGCAAGGGGACCAUGCACAGGAGCAGCUUGGCGGAAGAUCGGGUGUUGGGGACGCUCAGGAUGGGGCACCCGAGUUAGGUGGGACGCGGUAGGCGCUGAAGUUGGGACUACAGUGUGGGAGGCCCUUGGACGGCCGAGAUGGGAGGUAUGGCGGGCUUCCGGGGUACAGGCACUCUGGGAGGCUCGGAACCGCAACCACUUCGAAGGGCAGUGCGCUCGGAUUUCAGCGAUCAUGGCGAAUUGGUGGAGGCUCACACUGGCUGCUAUCCGCUUGAGGGAUAUGCUGCUCCAGGAGCAUGGGAAAAACAGGGAGGCACUCACAGCUUGGUGACGACUAUGGACUCUGUGCUACGGAACUGAACACGAGGGGGAGGUCAAGUGGAAAUGGAGACCUUCGGACACGGUAACAAAGGAGGCUCGACGUGGCGAUCUGGCACUGGAUGCACUGCGGAGGCGACGACCACAGCAGCCACGAUUGGAGGGCAACAAUCACUGUUAGGUGGAGAAUUGCAGGACAGCGUAGUUGAGUGAGCAGCGCUAAGAGAUUCUUGUUUUUUGUAUCAGUCCCUAAUGGACUUGGAGAAAUGUACAUACACGUUGCAUCGAAACAGAUAUUCUAAGAAUAUCUAGU